rnacentral:lncRNA from 1 species
UUUUUUCUCUUCUUCCCUCUCUGAGCUAGAGGCAGGGCAGAGAUUUGCAGGAGGAGCCAAGAUGGCCGAAUAGGAACAGCUCCGGUCUACAGCUCCCAGCGUGAGCGACGCAGAAGACGGUGAUUUCUGCAUUUCCAUCUGAGGAUAAUCAUCCAUCAUCCAAGCCUACGUCCUUGGGAGGAAGCCUCCGCUACCAGCAAAGGCCCAGGAGGAGGCUGGGGGUGUGUGUUUCUUUGUGAAAAAAGAUCACAGGGCUAGCAGUCAUUGUUCUGAGAACAGCAGCUCUGGUUCUUCAGCUCCCCUGACAAAUAUUCUCCAGGAUUCCAGAGCAGCAGCUGAGGCUGGAGGAGGUGAGCCUGCCAUCAGAGGGUGUUAGUGGAAAGAAGCUCUGUGGACUCUUGAAAGCAACAAAUUAUCAGUUGUAUUUGUUUUGAGGUUGUAGCAGACUAGGUAAUUGAAAGAGAGGGUGAGGAUGCUAUUAGUCUGCU